rnacentral:rRNA from 1 species
UACGGGGGGGGCAAGCGUUGUUCGGAAUUACUGGGCGUAAAGGGCUCGUAGGUGGCCAACUAAGUCGGACGUGAAAUCCCUCGGCUUAACCGGGGAACUGCGUCUGAUACUGGAUGGCUUGAGAUUGGGAGAGGGAUGCGGAAUUCCAGGUGUAGCGGUGAAAUGCGUAGAUAUCUGGAGGAACACCGGUGGCGAAGGCGGCAUCCUGGACCAACACUGACGCUGAGUGAGCGAAAGCCAGGGGAGCAAACGGG